rnacentral:lncRNA from 10 species
AAAAAAAAAAAAAAGUUAAGUAUGGAAUAGACAGUGCACUGAGAAACAGCAUUCGUAAGGAUGAGACAGCAAAGACUGGCGCUAGGGAGGCUCCCUUUCUGGAAGCCUUUCAUGAUUAUUCGUAAGUGGGUGGGAAGAGGCGUUACUAGUAGGCAUGGUCUGGGUGGUCUUCUUGGUGCACAUGUGCAGUAGUUGUACAUGCUUGUUUAUACAUCGCAUGUCUCUUUAGCAUCUUUUUUUUUUUUUGAGACAGAAUCUCACUCUGUCGCCGAGGCUGGAGUGCAGUAGUGCGAUCUCAGCUCACUGCAACCUCCACUUCCCAAGUUCAAGCAAUUCUCCUGACUCGGCUUCCUGAGUAGCUGGGAUUACAAGCACGUGCCACUACCCCUGGCUAAUUUUUGUACUUUUAGCAGAGCCAGGCUGGUCUCGAACUCCAACCUCAAGUGGCCUGCCCUCCUUGGCCUCCCAAAGUGCUGGGAUUACAGGUGUGAGCCACCGCACCUGGCAUCUUUAGCAUCUUAAAUCUCCACCCAGGGGUGUAUUUUUUACUAUUAAAAUGAGCAGUGUGUCGGUUUGAGGACAGGUGAAAUCAAAAUGUGCAUGCUCUCUACAGGGGCAAUCGCCUACUGAAGACAGCUUUGCUUGAAUGAGCUCGAUUACAAUGUGAAUGCUGAGGCUUAUUGUGUUGAUUGUACAGUCACCACGCUUGCUGCGUUCCCAGAACAUGGUCAUUUCCUUAACUACCUAUCCUGCCUCACUCCCACCCCAGCCUCUUGAGUAGCUGACACUACAGGUGUGCAACACCACACCUGGCUAAUUUCUUUUCUUUUCUUUUUUUUAGACAGUCUUGCUCUUUUGCCCAGGCUGGAGUGCAGUGGUGCAAUCUUGCUUCACUGCAACCUCUGCCUCCCGGGUUCAUGUGAUUCUCUUGCCUCAGCCCCCCGAGUAGCUGGGAUUACAGGCAUGCACCACCACGCC